UCUGCUAAAGAGGAGGAAGGGAAUGGGCAACGGUAGGUCAGCAUGCCCCGAAUUAUCCGGGCUACACGCGGGCUACAAUGGUCAGGACAAUGGGUAUCGACACCGGAGAGGCGGAGGCAAUCUCCUAAACCUGUCCUUAGUUCGGAUUGUGGGCUGCAACUCGCCCACAUGAAGCUGGAAUCCGUAGUAAUCGCGUUUCAAAAUAGCGCGGUGAAUAUGUCCCUGCUCCUU
rnacentral:rRNA from 1 species